AUAAGCUGGUCUUCAAACUAUCUCAAAUGUAAGUUGGCCCUAUAAUGCUACUGAUCAAUCACCAGAUCAGCAGUGACCCAGCAUACUUCGAAAAUGAUUCCACUGUGGUUGUCAUAAAGGUGAGCUGGCUCUAUGAUGCUAUUGGUUAUAAGGAACAGAACACAGCAGAAGUUCUAAUGGGAACAGAAUAUUCUGUUGGCAGUUCUGUAGAUACGCCAAAAGACCAUGUUUUUAACCUACUACUGGCAUGAGACACUGAAUGUAAAAGCAAGAUCUUCCCUUCCCACAAUAGAAAAUUAAAGGCUUCGGACAUUAUCCACCUGCACCUGCGCUCCAAAGUACACAGAGCUAUCCGUGCUCAGCGUCUGGAAAUACAGGGGAGCUUUGCGUCGUUCUACAUAACUAUCAUCAAGGGACAGGCUGGUGAAGUUCCGAUUCAGCUCAAGGAAGACGGAAUGCCAGCUCCCAUCGUUCACAGCCCUGCCAGAAAUUCCCAGAAUGCCUGGGCCGAUGCCACAGUCCAACUGGAACCACAGUUUGCCAUCCACAAUCUGCAAAAGGAAAGCAAACAUAGGAGACUUUUGUAUUUGUUCUAGUAUAUGCAGUAAAUGUGUCAUAUAAUACGGCAA